rnacentral:rRNA from 1 species
ACGUGGGUAACCUGCCUGUAAGACUGGGAUAACUCCGGGAAACCGGAGCUAAUACCGGAUAGUUCCUUGAACCGCAUGGUUCAAGGAUGAAAGACGGUUUCGGCUGUCACUUACAGAUGGACCCGCGGCGCAUUAGCUAGUUGGUGAGGUAACGGCUCACCAAGGCGACGAUGCGUAGCCGACCUGAGAGGGUGAUCGGCCACACUGGGACUGAGACACGGCCCAGACUCCUACGGGAGGCAGCAGUAGGGAAUCUUCCGCAAUGGACGAAAGUCUGACGGAGCAACGCCGCGUGAGUGAUGAAGGUUUUCGGAUCGUAAAGCUCUGUUGUUAGGGAAGAACAAGUGCAAGAGUAACUGCUUGCACCUUGACGGUACCUAACCAGAAAGCCACGGCUAACUACGUGCCAGCAGCCGCGGUAAUACGUAGGUGGCAAGCGUUGUCCGGAAUUAUUGGGCGUAAAGGGCUCGCAGGCGGUUUCUUAAGUCUGAUGUGAAAGCCCCCGGCUCAACCGGGGAGGGUCAUUUGGAAACUG